rnacentral:misc_RNA from 1 species
GAUGAAGAACGCAGCGAAAUGCGAUAAGUAAUGUGAAUUGCAGAAUUCAGUGAAUCAUCGAAUCUUUGAACGCACCUUGCACCCUUUGGCAUUCCGAAGGGUAUGCUCGUUUGAGUGUCAUUGUACUCUCACACUUCUGAUCCUUUGGAUUGGGAGCGGUGGACUUGGGUGUUGCUGCUUUACUGUGGCUCACCUCAAAUGCAUUCGUGCAACUCUUGGUUGGACAUAGUACGGCGUGAUAAGUAUCUUCGCCGGCACCUCGCAAGAGGGUGGCUGAUCAGGAGCUCUGUGCUUUCCAACUGUCUUCAGACAACAACUGACAACUUGACCUCAAAUCGAGUAGGACCACCCGCUGAACUUAAGCAUAUCAAUAAGCGGGGA